UACGAAGGGAGCUAGCGUUGUUCGGAAUCACUGGGCGUAAAGCGCACGUAGGCGGCUGUGUCAGUCAGGGGUGAAAUCCCGGAGCUCAACUUCGGAACUGCCUCUGAUACAGCACGUCUUGAGUCCGAUAGAGGUGGGUGGAAUUCCUAGUGUAGAGGUGAAAUUCGUAGAUAUUAGGAAGAACACCGGUGGCGAAGGCGGCCCACUGGAUCGGUACUGACGCUGAGGUGCGAAAGCGUGGGGAGCAAACAGG
rnacentral:rRNA from 1 species